ensembl:lncRNA
UACUGCUUCUACAACUCCUCAGCUCAUGCGCGCGCCUCCAGUGUCGCUAGAAAGCGCACGCGCCGCCCACACACUGAACACUCAGGAAAUCACUCAACGAGACACUUUGGUUUUUAAACAGAAUUCUUUAUUUACAACAGUAAUUUAUUAUUAUUUCCAAACAUCAAACAGCAUCCGCGAAGCCGCGUUAGUUUGCCAACUUGCAUAACCUCUUUAAAGUUUUGCAUAAAACGCUCACACACUAAAUAUCAGAAAUACCGAGGCGCGUGAACAGAUGAGCUCUCAAUGUGCACGGACACAAAAAAAAAAAAAAAAAAAAAAAAAAACAAUAAUAAUAAUAAUAAUAAUAAUAAUAAUAAUAAUAAUACAUUUCAUAACGCGCAACACUGUCGGCUUUACUGCAGAAGGUCCAUAAAUUACAUAGGCUAUUGCUUCGAUUUCCCGUUGCAUUAUCAUAAUCAUCAUCAUCAUAAUCAUCAUCAUUAUGACUGAAUGGAUGAAAUCAGAACUGUACAAAUAAUAAUAAACCCACAGCUGAUCACAAAAAACAAAAAAACAAAAAUGGAUGAGAGAGAGAGAGAGAGAGAGAGAGAGAGAGAGAGAGAGAGAGAGAGAGAGACUAGUCACUAGAGUGCUUUCUGUGCUGCUGGGGUGGAACCCUUAUCUUUUGUACCUUUAAUAUGGAUCUUUUACCUGGAUCUAUCCAUCAAAGGGUAUAUAGUGUACACUUAAAGGUACACUCUCAAGGUAAAAGAUACCACCCCAGCGACAAGGAAAGGCACAGUGAGUAAAGUGAUUGGGAACGGUGGUGAGCUCAUAUUGUGACUGACUGUACAGAUGUAACACAAAGCUCUUCUUAUGCAACAUUAAGGUCUAAGGCAACAUAUAGCGUUUAGCAUCUUAGCUUCCUGCAGUUAGCACUAUGCUAUUGGCUGACUACAGAGCACAAUGACACUCACAACAGAGAAACUACAGGUAUCGAUGUAAAGUGGCUCAUAAAAACGCUUUAGAAAACCCCACAGCGCCUCCAGCUCAUGGCUUAUACCCAUUUGAAAUGGCGACUAUCUUUGGAUUCGAGAAGUGGCUACUCCCAACCAAGUGUCCCUCCAGGACAACAGCGCUGGACUUCCAAACAGAGUGAUGUCCAAAUGGGAUUCGAAAGUGUCAACCAUAAAGGAGUAGUGUGUGUAAAAGGAAUGGAAAAGAGAGACCUCUGUUGAGAAAAUAAAAUAGUAAAUGGACGACUUAUGCGCAACUUUAACGACGACCAGAGAUCCGCACUGGUACUGACAUAUUGCUCAAACUUUCACGUUAAACAGAUUCAUGGGACUCCCUUUCCCUGAGAAGGAUGCCUAAAACCAUGUCGAAAUCAAAGGACCUUGUAAGACACCUGUCUUUAUGGUGCAUUUGAAAGGGACAGGCUUUAUCUCCCCAAAACCACUGCUUACACCCAAAUGCAAUGUAGAGUACCAGGGGAUACUCUGAAGGCUCUAUUUUACAAAUAUGGUGCUAAAUAAAUAUCACAAAAUAUUGUAUUACUGAUUAUUGGCACAUGAAGACUGGCGGGUGUGUCUUUGAGCCCAUAAUAUGAAAGAUAUCGAAUCGAAAGGACAUUUCUGAUUAGCACCAGAUCUUCAAAAGUAGUCAAAAAGCGUUUCGGGUUAGUCCAUGCUAGCUAGCUGGCUGGCAUAUCAGUGAAUGCAUGUUAGCUAGUUGACUAGCAUAUCAAAGUAUAUUAUAAACAUUUAACUGUGUGGCUAGCAUGUACAGUGAUUAUUAUAAACAAUAAUGAAUAUGACUUCAAAUCCUAUCAGGUUAUCUCAGCUAACACUUUUCCUCUGAUUGACUUCCAUAUAUGGAAAUUCCUAUCAGCUAUUCCUAAUAGCUUUAAACACACCAACUCAGAGAUGCUCUUAUUUCCAUAUAUGGACUGAGUCACCCACAUUUGCAUCCAUGGCUUUAAGACACACCCACUCUCUUAUUUCCAUAUACUGAUAUAAUGAUCUGCAGACCCUGUUGGUAAGAAUAUAGCCACCCUGAAGUCCAGCGCUGUCCCACCAACACCGGCUUAUCACUGAGGAACAUACGGAUUUAAACAUUAUUAGUAGUAUUUUUUUUUUCUCCCCCGAAAAUAUAAACCGCAAUAAAAAACGUCCAUCCGUAAUACUGGGUCCAAAAACUGGGAACGCAAAAUUUGUACAAAAUUACAAAACGAACAAAGCAACGUUUACUAAGUUAUUGCUCGUCUUUUUGGAACACGACAGACAAAAGCAACACGUCAGUGCCGAGUUUAUGGCUGUGUUGGGUUUUUAAUUUUAAAAGGCUGAGAAGCAAAGCAGUUAGCUGUACACCGUACACACGGCGAGCUCACACAUACACACACAGUCUAAAGUAACCCGCUUCAUCUGCUUCAGUACCAUAGGAAGGGCCAGGCGAUAUAACAAUGUGAUAAGCAGUAAUGCUUUCAUGACACUGACUCCACAGUUGCUCAUGUCAGUCAGUGGAUGUCUAUAAAAUCUAUCUUUUUUUUCUCUCGAUCCUGGUUUUGAGCAGUCAAAAAAAAAAUCAGCCAGAUUUAGAAAAUGUUUUUCUUUAAAAAGCAUUGCUGUUUUUCACAUACAUUAUAUUAGCAAACCACAAUUUGUCAUAUAUUGUGAAAGUGUAAGUAUCAUGAUAUGAUGUCUUGCCCAUAUCGCCCAGCCCUAAGCUUUACAAAAAAUAAAAUUAGAAAUAAAAAAAAAAAAAUCACACGCACGUGAAAACAUUCUAGAAGCAGUUAAGACCAGGCUGAAGGGGAAAACGGAAGAGCUGAAAAUCCAAAAUAAAUAUAUAUAUUUUUUUAUAUAUAUAUUUUUUAUUAUUGGUAUGUACAAUCUAUCAGCUAAGCACACACACACACAAAAAAAAAAAUCAAUGAUUUGCUCUAAUCUGAAACUACUGGACCAAAAUCCAAACUUUCUUAAUUAUAAAUAUUAAGUGAUACAGAUAAAGAAGCAAAUGCGAAGUUCACUGCAUCACUCCAGGAUUUCUUCUCAUCGCUAGCUCAUUAUAGAUAUCUACAUUUAAAAAAAUCUAUACAUGAGAAUAGAAUAAAAUUUAUAGCAAUUUGUAUAGCAAAAAACAAAACAAAAAAAAAAACAAAAAAAAAGGAAAUGUACAUAAUGUCAUCACUACCUCAAACGCAAUCAAUCAGCCAAGACACGUUUCAUCUCGUAUAUUCACUUCUUUAGUUUCACACUGGACCUCUGGGGGUUAAUGAUGCUAUCAAGUUAUAAAAGUCCAAAUCAUUCAGAAUCUGUUCUGUAAACAUGUGCGUCAAACUACAUCCAGUUCUUAAUUAAUGCAAAAUAUAACCGAGUUUUCAUUAAAAAAAUUUUCUUAUAUGUAACAUUCAUAAACAUUCCUACAACGUUGCUGCAACCUUUUUUUAGUUGUAGGGGAUGUUAACCCAAACACUCUUAAUGCGUUUCGGGAACAGAGUGAAACGUUCCGAUAACGUUACAAGAAACGAUUUUAAGAUUGCAAUAAUGCAAUCAUUUUGUAAUCCUACAGCAUACCAUUCUUAAAACCUGUAGAAUAGCCUACUGAAUGUUCCGUUAAUGUCGGCAUAUUAUCCGUUAGCUAGAUGAUAUGGAUAUAAAUUUUGAAAAUAAAUACAGACCAUCACGUACUUUCACACAAAAUCGUUUAGUCGAGUUAAAAAUCUUCACAGAGUUAUUAAUCUGUGUUUAUGGAAAAUAUUUUCGGCGAGACAAACUGUCCUUACUUGUUAUCUACAUUAGUCUUGUAACUCCGGGGGCAAAGCUAAACAAGUAAACAAACAAGUAAACAAACAAAAAAACAUGUCUUGGCUGAUGGGACUAUAUUUGGGAGUAUAAGCAGGGGGGGGGACUGUGUACAUUUUAUUCCUGGCUGAACUGUUCCUUUGACACACCGGGCAGAAUAAUAUCAAAUUUCGUGAAUCGUUAUUCUGCCCGCAAACCAUUUAGAUCUGUGCAGAGUUUUAAUCUUUAACAUUACUCUCACUUUAGAGAGAGAGAGAGAAAAAAAAGAUGAAAAAGGCAAAAAUGGCUAAACGUUGAGCGCAGCCAUGGUGUUUGUGUGGGGACUGUGGGAACAGUAGGGGAAUACGAGAGUGUGUGUGGAUUUGCUUCACUGAGAGAGAGAGAGAGAGAGAGAGAGAGAGAGAGAGAGAGAGAGCGAGAGAAUACAUUCACAGGAUCCUGAUGCCACCGUUUAUAGGAGAGUCACGCUAAGUCACACUACGGUGAAUGCGGUUUUAUACAUAUACAACAAAUGGACUUUGCCUUGUGUGUGUGUGUGUGUGUAGGAUCCAUAGAUUUAAAUCGGUGACACUCAAGGUCCAAAAUAUAAAAUUUUGUGUGUGUGUGUGUAUAUGUGUGUGUAUGUGUGUGUGUGAUCUCCCUCCAGCAGGGGGAAGUAGAGUUGUAGGGUUUUGGGGAUGAGUAGGGACCCUCUGCAGGGCACAGACUCGCUCUUGGCCCAUGCUGGUGGAAAUCGCGCUUUGUCCACUCAUGGUCAACAGUACUUCGGCUGAGAGAAAUAUCAAAAAGAGAAGCAAGGGUUAGUCCAGUGUUCAACUCCAGUAAAUUAAUGACUUCAUGAUUUAUCGAAAUACAGCUGUACAUGAAAAUGCUACACCCUUAGGCUAAAAGAAGACAUAUAUUUGACAUAAACAGGCCACUGGGUGUGUUCGAUUUCACAGACUCCUUCAUUAGCGAUCUAAAAGCAACAAAAAUGUGCAGACUUUUUAACAGGACGAUCGGUGUCAAUUGUUAUUAUUUUGUUUAAAGAUCUUUGCUAUUUAGUACUGCUCUUCAGAAGCUACAUGAAGAUACUUACAUGUUUCCAAGGAGACAAAAUCAUCCAUUUUCCCCAUUUUAGAAUAACAAUGAAGACGUUAACAGUAUGAAAUAACACGUAUGGAAUUGCGCAGCGACCGGAAAAACUGCCAAACCCUUUCUAACCGAAAUUAUAUUCAAAUUCGUUACAGUAAUCCUGAUGAAGCUUUGAACACUCUCGGCAUCUUCUUGACCGACUUCACCAAGGAGGCUUUUCUCGACGUUCCCCAAAGCAGAGCAGAGCUUCUCACUGCUUCUCCUAAACGACUACGCUCUAAACUCCCUGUUUUGAGUAAAAACGACUUAUUAAACAAAAGAUUUUGAUUCUGAACGGAAUUUAUACGUGGACAUUUUGUAACAUUUGUCUCAGAAACAAAAUUGAACCCUGUAAGCCUUUAUCGAAACAUCCCUGGCUGUAAGGUUUUUAACGCGUGUUCACAUCGAGUUUUCUUCAUAACAUACGUCGUCGAUUUUCUCGAUACGAGCCUGUUUUCAUAAAUUACACGAGAGUGGGAUUAGAUAAUUGACUCGUUAAUAUGUUCUCCAAGCUGCCAUUAAGGUCAGCGAUGCACUACAGAGAUGAGGGCACACACAUCAUGCAGGUGAACGGCGAACUUUAAAAGCACUUUCGGCACAAUCUCGAACACCCGCAGUUAAUUACGCGGUGGAGUGCCAAACUUUAGAAGGCCACCAAGAGAUAAUAAAUAGAGGAGGUCAUAACUCCUUGAAAGUACUAAUGGCAAAAAGCUAAAUUAUUAAGAGCAGCUAGUUACAGUAAACACUGCCUGGGAAUAAAUCAGAAAUCAGCAGACACUGAAAACCAAGUGCACACGGCGGCCUGGUUAAAUAUUCAUACAGCUUUAUGAGGCUUAAGAGCUGCAGUCGGGGAAAAAAAAACAUUGAAAAAAAACUUCACCGUUAGACGGAAGCUAUGGUAUGGUGCUAACUGUGGCAUCGUACACUGCCGAUAUUAGAUGAAACUGUUAUGAUUACGCACAAGAUUACACCUGAUGGAGCAGGCUGUUAUCAGAAAACAGUCAUCAGUUGGGUUGUGUGAUGUUCCUGAAGGUGAAUACGUUCCUAUACCGGCAUGUCUGGAAGCGUUUUGUUGCUCUUAAAAUCGCAUCAAAUUGAAUUUAAUCACAUUUAACAGAACGCUUGUGAAUCCCAUCAUCACUCACGCUUUAGAAGCUAUAAACAGCGGUUCCCUUUUUUCCUUUCUCGUAAAAAUGAAACAGAAAAUGCAACAAAGACUUGCAAAAAUGCGAGACGUCUACACAGCCCUGUUAAAAUGGCGGGUUUUUCUGAUUAAAAAAAAAAAAAAAAAAAAGAGGGAGAGACGAAAAAAAAAAACAAAAAAAACUUUUCCGCAUCCGACGGUGAAAUUACAAUGUUUAAAAAUGUAAUGAAAGACAAUCCGAAACGUUUUUCAGUACGUGGUUUGGGACGCAGCCCACGGCUUCAAACGGUCGUCUAUUUACACGUACAGCGUGACGAAUAAUUAACCGCACUUAAAGUUUUCCUGAAAUUAAAAAUGAAACACCCGAAACUGAAUACGGGACCAUAACGAAGACCGACUACAUGUCGAUACGUCAAAUUCCGGAGGGAACGUAUGGGUCUGGAGGGGAUGUAAUGACGUGUGCUGUUAAUCCAUCUGUGUUCUAUAACACGUAAAACAGAAACGUGAACGGAAUAUUGUAAAAGCAGCUCAUAUAAACACCUCAAUCAGAAUAUUGUCUUAUUCAGAAUAAGGUCAGUAAUUAGAUUACUGCUGUCCGUGUAAACACCUUAAUCAGAAUAUUGUCUUAUUCAGAAUAAGGUCAGUAAUUAGAUUACUGCUGUCCGUGUAAACACCUUAAUCAGAAUAUUAUCUUAUUGAGAAUAAGGUCAAAAAUUUGAUUACCGUUGUCCAUGUAAACAGAGCCACUGAUUUUUUUUCUUCACGCAGAAAAAAAAAAUCUUUUUUUUUGCGGGAUACAACUCACAAUCUGGAGUGACCCAUAACCGCUCACAUUCCAUGAUACGAAGAGGGUGUGUGUGUGUGUUUCAGAGAGAUUUUAUGCUUAUACGGCCAUUGUUUAUGAUCAAAACUCAAACUGCAGUAAAAAAUAAAUAAAUAAAUAAAUAAAUAAAUAAAUAACUCUCCGUUCCAUCACCAUGUCAGAUUGCAGUCCGACAGACUAAUUAGAGUCAAUAAUUUAUGAGCUCAUCUUACAGAAACCGGGACACUUAGCAUCUCAACGUAAGACAUUCUAACCUGUAAUGGCUUGCGUAAACAAAGGCGAUUAGUAAAUCUCAAACAGAGGCCUUUUACCAAACUCCGGUGUGUAACAGCAUGCUUCGUUCAUUAAUGACGAGAAGUUUCAGAGCAGCUCUCUGGAGACGGACACUGAGCUCAUACGGCUCACCUCUGUGUUACGCUGAAAAGUCAGUAUAUGACCGAUAAUAUACGAAGAGCAUCAUUAUCAGGGGUCAAGGUAUUACUGUGGGUAUGAUCCAUAACGCAUUGCGAGCAUACAGCCGGUUUAACACAGAAAAACCGCUGCACAUAGCAAGUCUAGAAAUGUAAUAAAUAUAACAUCGAGUUGCGUGUAAUGAGAAAUUGUAACUAGCUAAUAAUAUUAAGUCAUGUGUUCAGCCUCACCGUGCGCUUUUACGGUGCUUUCACAUCUAUCGGUACGUGUGCCGAGCCUGAGUCACAGCGACAUUUAUUGUUUUUUUCGGCUUCCUCACACUGCGCAUUAUUACACGGACCAAAGAAAGAACGAAAAACAAAAUCAAGCACUAAUCGACCGCUUCUGUUCACUGGUGGAAUGGAAAAAGCAAAGCUGUCGUUCAAUAAAUUACUAGAUAAUCAUGUAAAUAAAGGGGGUGAAACGUUAUGUGUGUUGCAUGAUUCAGCUUUUGCUUUCUAUUUGACUCAAAUAUCUAGAACACAUCCCGUUUCUAGGAUACCCGUACACGGCAUGUCCGGUUCAUUUCCCGCAGACUGCUUUUCUUUGAAGAAAUCUGUCCAUAUUGUUUUGCACUACACACGCGUCAUCACACGCUAACUCUUCGGAUAAAACACACGCAUACGUUAUGCAUACUGAUGUUGACGUGCUGCUGACAGGUCAGCGAGGGGGGUCGAGGGGGAGGGAAUUAUUAUUAUUUAUAUAUAUAUAUAUAUAUAUAUUAUGUGUGUGUGUUUCUGUCUUAAUAUUUCUGUGUCUGUGUUAUUAUUCGAUUAAAUUCAAUUCAAUUUGACUUGUAGAGCGCUUUUAACAAUGGAAAUUGUCUCAAAGCAGCUUUACAGAAAUAUAUAAACACAGGAUAUGGAUUUUAAGUGUGUGAAUUUAUCCCUAUUGGGCGAGACGGUGGUGACGGUGGCGAGGGAAAAACUCCCUGAGAUGAUACGAGGAAGAAACCUCGAGAGGAACCGGACUCAGAAGGGAACCCGUCCUCAUCUGGGUCACGACGGAUAGUGUGAAAGUGAAGGAAAGUUCAUUAUGGUUUUUAUAUGAAGUCUUUGUUAAACUAGUCCACUGUUGUAUACACAUUUGGGUUCAGGCCCCAGCACUGCCAGGCUUUGGGUGACUGAUCAGAAGGUCGGGGGUUCAGGCCCCAGCACUGCCAAGCUGCCACUGCCAUUGAGCAAGGCCCUUAACCCUCUCUGCUCCAGG